UGGGGAAUAUUGGACAAUGGGCGCAAGCCUGAUCCAGCCAUGCCGCGUGUGUGAAGAAGGCCUUUUGGUUGUAAAGCACUUUAAGCGAGGAGGAGGCUACUUGGAUUAAUACUCUAGGAUAGUGGACGUUACUCGCAGAAUAAGCACCGGCUAACUCUGUGCCAGCAGCCGCGGUAAUACAGAGGGUGCGAGCGUUAAUCGGAUUUACUGGGCGUAAAGCGUGCGUAGGCGGCUUCUUAAGUCGGAUGUGAAAUCCCUGAGCUUAACUUAGGAAUUGAAUUCGAUACUGGGAAGCUAGAGUAUGGGAGAGGAUGGUAGAAGUCCAGGUGUAGCGGUGAAAUGCGUAGAGAUCUGGAGGAAUACCGAUGGCGAAGGCAGCCAUCUGGCCUAAUACUGACGCUGAGGUACGAAAGCAUGGGGAGCAAACAGG
rnacentral:rRNA from 1 species